rnacentral:rRNA from 1 species
UCCGUAGGUGAACCUGCGGAAGGAUCAUUAUUGAAUUUAAUGUAGAGUUGGUUGUUGCUGGCCUAAUUAAUUUUUUUGGGCAUGUGCACACCUUCUCUUUCAUCCACACACACCUGUGCACCUGUGAGACAGCAAGGGGGAUUUUUUUUUUCCUUGAAAAAAUUAAGAACCCUGCUGUCUACUUAAUUCAUACAAACUCAAAUUAUUUUAAAAUGAAUGUAAUUGAUGUAACGCAUCUAAUACUAAGUUUCAACAACGGAUCUCUUGGCUCUCGCAUCGAUGAAGAACGCAGCGAAAUGCGAUAAGUAAUGUGAAUUGCAGAAUUCAG